rnacentral:rRNA from 1 species
UACGUAGGGGGCUAGCGUUGUCCGGAAUCAUUGGGCGUAAAGAGCGUGUAGGCGGUCCGGUAAGUCCGCUGUGAAAGUCGGGGGCUCAACCCUCGAAUGCCGGUGGAUACUGUCGGGCUAGAGUGCGGAAGAGGCGAGUGGAAUUCCUGGUGUAGCGGUGGAAUGCGCAGAUAUCAGGAGGAACACCGGUGGCGAAGGCGGGUCUCUGGGCCGUAACUGACGCUGAGGAGCGAAAGCGUGGGGAGCGAACAGG